AUCACGUGGUGAGGGAAUUUAUGAAGUAACUCCUUGAAUCUUUCCCAUGCCUCGUAUAAGGAUUCAUCAUCCAUCUGCUGGAAAGUGGUGAUCUCGUUCUGCAACU
rfam:Gossypium hirsutum cultivar TM-1 chromosome 8, whole genome shotgun sequence